UACGUAGGGGGCAAGCGUUGUCCGGAUUUAUUGGGCGUAAAGAGCGUGUAGGCGGUUCGGUAGGUCCGUUGUGAAAACUCGAGGCUCAACCUCGAGACGCCGAUGGAAACCCUCGAACUAGAGUCCGGAAGAGGAGAAUGGAAUUCCUGGUGUAGCGGUGAAAUGCGCAGAUAUCAGGAAGAACACCCGUGGCUGAGGCGGUUCUCUAGUACGGUACUGACGCUGAGACGCGAAAGCGUGGGGAGCGAACAGG
rnacentral:rRNA from 1 species